rnacentral:sRNA from 1 species
GGUUGGAGGACAGGCCAAUCGCUCCCGGCUAUUUGAGCCAAUGGAGAAGUUCCUGAUGCCCACACCUGCUGGUCUCACCGCCAGGGCCUGGGCAUCACAGGCAGGGGGAAUGGGGAGGGGACGGUAGCGUCAGCCUACACCCACACGCAGUUUCCUGAUAAAAGGUCCUUUGGAAACUUUGAUUCUCUUCUCACCAAGUUGAACGGAGAUGUGUUCCCAUAGUAAGAGUGAGGCCCCUGCAUUUGCUGCCCUCGGUUUUCCCAACUAACACCAUGGCCUCCCCCCUGUACCCCAUUCAUACGCCUCAGAAGCUGACAAUGACUGUUGGGCUUUUCCAACGAAUACCAGAACACCAUUUCCUGCAGCCUGAAAAGAAGACAGUAUAAUUAUUUGGCAGCAAGAGGUGAGCAUGGGUAAGGAGGGCGGAACUCUUUCACUCAUACCCACCCCUCCUCCUCUCUCCUUUCCUUUUCCCCAUAUUCUUUCUCCCCAGCCCUUCCCUCCUCCCACCUCCUGACUCUAGCCCAGGCCACUGAAAUUUUUUCCACUUUUCCCUCCCUCCUGAGAAUUUCCGGGGGCCUGAAAGAAGACCUGUUCCCUAGCACUAGUUCAUCGUCUGCUCCACUGAGAAAUAACCAGCUACCAGAAAGUUUGAGAAACUGAUUUGCAGAAAGAGGGCACCAAAUCAGUUUAGAGUCAGGGUCUGUAGUCAGUAGAGUUGGCAAACGCCAUUUCCCUGACCCACUGGGUAUCUGAAUACUUGUCAUUGGCCCUUGAGAGCUCAUCAACUGUGGAUGUGCAAUAAGCUUGUCCAGGACCAAAAGUGUCUCUUGCUGCUUAAAUAUCCACCAAAAAGAUUCCACUUGUCAAAGCACCUGCCUCCCUGCCCUGACUUCUUUUACCUUCUGUCUCCUUUUUCUCACUUUCACACUGUUCUCCUCUUUUUCUCUUUUCCUGUGCCCUUCUCUCUCUCUGGUUUGAUUUCUUUUUUCCAGGCCAAGCAGGAAACUAGAGAUAUGGUGAUGGUAGUGGUCCCAAGGAGGAGCUUUAACCUGAGCACCACCCACAGAAGGCAGACCACCCUCCCAGCCGCAGUGCAAAUGAAUGUUGGCCCCCACCCAGGUCCUCAAGUGCUUUCCCAGUCACGCCCCAGCUGCCCGGUUUUUUUCUCCAGGCCUACUACAGAUGGGUUACCCUGACUCCACCCCCAACACCCUCCAAUGAUUAGAACCACUGACUCCUCCCUCCCAUGCCUGCCUCCAUGGCAGGCCCCUGCAGAAACCAAACAUAGUCACCUUAGACUCUGGCAUACUGAGACCAGGGCUUGAUCCUGGCCCCCUUGCCUCCCUGGCAAUUUAUCAUUUAAUAAAAAUAUUGUUAAAAAAUA